GCCUGGAUGGUCUAGUAGUAUGAUACCUUGUUAGGGCGGUGACUCUGCAUUUCGAGGUGGUCCUGGGUUCAAUUCCCAGUUCGGGCC